rnacentral:lncRNA from 1 species
GUUUCGGUAUAGAAAUUAAAUUCCGUCUCAUCUGCGGUACAUAAACUGUAUUUUUCAAAACAAGAUAAAAAUCAGAUUUUAAAGUUAACUUCACUGCUCCUAUGAAUUCAACCUUCACUUGAAAUUUAUUUGCAACGCUCAAGCUUACUUCAUUCUCACUUGACUUUCGUUUUCUUAUGAACCCCUGGAGAACUCUUCUUCUUUUCCAACCAAGUCUUGAACUUAAAACAAUCUUUCUGCUAGUGACCCUUCUUUUUACAGAACUUGCAUUGAUCAUUUUUCUUUAUAACUCCUUUGGGACCACUAAAAUUUUUAUUCUGUUGACUUCGGUGAGACUUAUUACCCUUACGAAAUUUAGGUUUAUGAUUAUGAGAAGGCCUCUUAUUCUGUGAUGGCUGAAAAGCUAAUUGCACAGUUUCAACAGUUUCACGGCGCAUCCUAUACUCUUCUUGGGCACACACUGCUAUGAGGUCAUUCAAAUUCCAUUUAUCCCGCUGAGCAUUAUAAGCAACCUUAAACUGAUUAAACUUGUUAGGAAGGCUAUUCAAAACAUGAUAGAUUAGGAAAGGCUCCGCAAUGAGAAUGUCAAGAGCCUUUAGCUUAGAUGAUAUAUUUAUCAUUUUCAUGACAUGCUCUCUAACACUAUUUGUGCCAUCAUAUUUCAUGCUCAUAAAUUUAUCCAUCAGAUCCCCAGUUUCGGCUUUAUCAGACUCAAUAAAUUUUUCUCCUAUGGCAUCCAUAAAACUUUUGACAUUUUCAUUAUCAGGAAUGGCACCUAGAAUGGAAUCAGAUAUCGAUCGCUUAAUGAUUUUCAAACAGAGUUUGUUAGCCCUUUCCCACUUUUCAUGAUCGGCUACAUAUUCAAUGGUACUCUUAUCUGUAGGUUUUUUAAGUUUUUUCUCCAUUGCAAAAUCCAAGCCCAAAAGACCAAGUGCUAUUUCUACGUCUCGUUUCCAUCUCACAUAGUUAUUCCCAGUCAAAAUUUCAAUAGCAGACAAUUGAUUCGAAAGAGAUGAGGCAUUAUAAACCGUGAAAACAUAAAAUAUCACUCUU